AGCAAUACUUAUCCUCCACAUUUAAAUCUCGCUCGUCGAUUUCGCUGCGGUCAACAGGUUUAAUCAGCAAGGUAGCUCCGAGACGAGGUCACUAACCAAGCGUUAACUCCUUUAUUUCCGGAUACCGCCGGCUAUCCCUCCCCCACCACCUGGACAACGUACUAGCACCCGAAGGCGAAAGGAAAGGCACCCAUUUCCCGAACGAAGAAGGACCGAGCGGAGCUCAAAGCAACACAUACUGUCUCCUUCCCUGUGAGAAAGUUUCCCAGUGAUUUUGUGAAGAAAAAUUAGGCUAACUGUGUGCAGGAUAACUCUCUGAAAACUGAACAGAGUGGGAGGAAUUUGAUGUGGCAGGAGAAGAUGGAAAAAGAGAAGUUGAGUCUGAAAAUAGGCCAGAUCAGGCCAAUGGCUGCAGAGGAAAAAAAUCUGGAAAAAAAAUUCCACAAUGCCUUUCUGUGGGAGAUGCGGUUGAUCAGCAGCUCAGAAUGUUGUUGACUGUCCCAUUCUAAGCUCCCUGGUCACGUGACUCACAGUAGAGCAUACAUCUUGGGCACACGUAACGUGUGCACAUAUAAGCACACACAAACACACGUGCAACACAAGUCACCCCCCACACACAAAUAUACCACAUUUAUUUCAUUGGACAAAAUAUAAAACUGAUGCUUCCUAUGGCAACUGCUGGUAAAGGGGUUGGAAAGAAUUCUGGCAAUCAUUCUCUACAUGCUUCCCCUACAUUGUUUUCUGUUUGCUUUGGUUCUAAAUCUUUGUUCCUUUAUAUAUUACAGCACUUUUAAAAAAAGAAAGGAAGUGAUCCUGUAAUCCUGUAAUUCUUGACUUAAAGGGUUAAUUAAAAAAAUUAAACAAAUGGAAAUAAUCUCUAUACCAGCCACUUGGUGAGGACAGCAAAAUGCUAACAGGUAAGGAUAAAAAGGGAGAAUAACUGAACUUCUCCAAGUCUUCUCC